GCCUCUUGCUAAACCGAAAGUAUAAGAGGUCCCGCCUGCCCUGUGACUAUAUGUUUAACGGCCGCGGUAUUUUGACCGUGCGAAGGUAGCGCAAUCACUUGUCUUUUAAAUGGGGACCUGUAUGAAUGGCAUAACGAGGGCUUAACUGUCUCCUCUUUCAAGUCAAUGAAAUUGAUCUCCCCGUGCAGAAGCGAGGAUAGAUACAUAAGACGAGAAGACCCUAUGGAGCUUUAGACACUAAAGCAGAUCAGUAUUAAUACCCUGAACAUAGACUACGAAUAAACUGACCCCUGCCCUAAUGUCUUUGGUUGGGGCGACCGCGGAGAAAAAUAAAACCCCCGCAAGGACUAAAUGUACUACAUUCACAAACAAGAGCGACAGCUCUAACUAACAGAACUUCUGACCAAUAAGAUCCGGCAAUGCCGAUCAAUGAACCGAGUUACCCUAGGGAUAACAGCGCAAUCUCCUCUUAGAGCCCAUAUCGACGAGG
rnacentral:rRNA from 1 species